rnacentral:rRNA from 1 species
GACGAAGGGGGCUAGCGUUGUUCGGAAUUACUGGGCGUAAAGCGCGUGUAGGCGGUUGUCCAAGUUGGAUGUGAAAGCCUUGGGCUCAACUCAAGAAAUGCAUUCAGGACUGGAUGACUAGAGGACCGGAGAGGAUAGUGGAAUUCCCAGUGUAGUGGUGAAAUACGUAGAGAUUGGGAAGAACACCAGUGGCGAAGGCGGCUAUCUGGACGGUUUCUGACGCUAAGACGCGAAAGCGUGGGGAGCAAACAGG